UAAUAAUAUAGUUGUUACAUGACUGCGAAUCUAAGAAUAGCCAGAGAGAAGCAUCUUUUCAGCAUUCUUGAAUAACUUCCCAUGGCUCUCCUUGCCCUUUCUAGAUAAUUGCUCUUUCCGUCCCCCGCCCUCUUCCCCUCCCCACCCCGCCCUCUCCAACUAUGUUAUUUCUUUACUGUCUGUCUGUCUUCCCUCCCCACCAAAUGCAGGCUCCAAAAAAGCAGCGACUUGUUUGGUUCCAGGCUGUAUCCUCCCCCGACUCCCAACGCACCCCUGGCGCCUAGGAGAUGCUCAGUGAAUUAUCUGUUGGGGGAAAAAACAUGAAUGAAGAAAAGGCAGAGACUAGAGGAGCAGCUGGGGGCUCUCUGAGCGCCUCAGUUUGGAAGCUGGGGCUCCCUCCCACCCCGGGGGCACCCCCUGCCCCAGGCCCAUGGGCGAGGGGUGCGUUUGCACCACCACCCCCGGCCCCCCGCCAGGUUGCGCUCAUUAAUCCUCCAAGCUAUGCGCACACCUUUGACCCUGAAAUGCAGUAUGCAAAUAUGUUCCCAGUGAAAGGCCGGGCGCUUGCCGAGCUGGCAAGGGCGUCUUGGAAAGGCAGCCGUGUUCCAGAGGCGGCGGCAGCGGCCGGCCGGCCGGCCAACGGCGCGGGGGCCGNNNNNNNNNNNNNNNNNNNNNNNNNNNNNNNNNNNNNNNNNNNNNNNNNNNNNNNNNNNNNNNNNUUAUUCAAUUAUUCAUCCCGCGCUGCCCGCGUGCAGGGCCACCCGCGGGCCACUGGGGGCCCUCGCUCUGGGGCUACCAGGGACGCAGGGUCGCUUCUCAGGAGGGAACGGGGUGCCCUGGACCCCAGCUGCAGACCCCUGCAGGGCCAUGAGCCAGGGUGGAGCUCCCCGGGAAGGUAAGAUCAUGGCUUCCUGCUACACUUCCUGGCUGGUUCCUUCUGCUGUCCUGGGCCUCUGUUUUUGGAUAGUCUAUAGUUUCACCCCUCCUUUUCAUCCUACAUAAAUCAUACUUCUGUGGCUCUAAUUAUAUAGUAAGAUCAUGGCUUCCUGCUACACUUCCUGGCUUCGGAUGGUUCCUUCUGCUGUCCUGGGCGGCGGGGUGGAAAAUAUUGGCCUUUCCUCUCGCUGGGACUGGGCGAGAUGGAGCCAGCGCGUCUAAAGUCGCGUCCGGUUACUGCCGUGUAAGUGUUGGGGGAUGGGCAAGGACACGAGCCGUAGCAUGAAGGAACCCAGAGCAGGUGGCAUCGUGAAGAAGGGACACUGAGGCUGGCGAUGGCAGGUAAAUCAGAGGCUGCCUGCUUCUGGUGGGGGGCUUUGGGCAGGUGUGGCCAGGCCUGCACGUGGCCGGAAAGGAGGCUGGGGGUCGUCUUGCUGGGAGAGCUCUGUGAUUGCAUCACCCCUGUCUCUCUCUAACACACCUGCACUGAACGCAGGAUGUGUUCAGAUGUGAGGGUGACCUCAAAGAUCUCCGGGUAUCACACCGGAAGAUGUGGUCCUACAAACUGUCCGGAAGGCACAUGUUUUCACCGUCCUGUACCUGUCAGAGCACUUUCAAGUUCAUGAUUCUCGCUCUGGCUCCCCCGAGGGGUUGUCCUGUGUUUCUAUCAUAACCCGUCUCAGCGGCUAACCUGGUGUUGUAGUCCUAUGUGACCUCCAUGCCUCCUCCAGGACUCUAGGAUUCCUGAAAAGUGGAGAUCGUGUCUUCAGAGGAUGCAUUUUCAUCCCUAUAGCUUCCAAUCAUAUACUAUAAUUAAAUGAUGCAUUUCCAUUAAUAGAAUAGAAAAGCUUUUGGAAAGGAACACUUCACCCCAAUAAGCUGAAUGACUCCUCUUUCUCUGCGUUCACCUCUGGUCCUGGGCUGCAUGUCAGGUCUCACUAAUUUAUUACCAUAGUAUCAGUGCUGCCCUGGUUGCUUUUGCUCUUUGUCUCCGGUUUAGUCUGAUCGUCAGUAUUUUCCCAUGAAGGUUCAGUGUCUAUGGAACCAUCACUUUUAAAGACUCUGUGAUACUCAGAGACAGGCGUGCCUUACUGAACUCUCCCCACCAGGUUGGACACAGAGCUGAGUCCACAGUUGUAAGCAUCUUCAAAUACAGCCUUGAUUGCUGGGGUUGAGUGUGGCAUUCCCCAUCUCAACAGCCUGGAACCUAAGAGGUGAGCAACGCUGGGAGUGUCCCGACCGCAGGGCAAAGAGCAGACCCCUCCCCGGCCCUCUGUCCAGCUGGCCUCUGCCGUCCCAGCUUCCUUCUUCCCACACUCUUGCUCAGGAAAGAUGCCGCCAGAUGUCCAGUCCUGCUUGAGAUAAACCCUGCUCCAUUACCAAGCAGCCCCCUCGGUGUGUUCUCUGGACAGUUGGUUGCUAUGCCAGGGAACUUUAGACCAUGCUGAAUUUACUUGUUUUAUGGCUCGGAAUUUCAGGAGCAGCAGCACAGAUGUUAACUGUGCGAGUCUCUAUGCUGGUAAAAUAAACCUUCAUCAAACAGGGGUGUCCUGACUCCGGGUUCCCUAGCCCUGAAUACAUUGUGUCAAUCACCAACGCAGAUGGGGCAGUUGAGUCAUCGAGCAGCCUGGUAACUUGAUAUGGUCAGAGAGCCAGCUGUGACUAUUUAAGGGUGGGGGGAGAACCCCUUUUUAUUUCUAGACAAAUAUAUUUCUGAUCAUAACUUAAAUAUUUUCUUUAGUCUGAAUACCGACUUGUCUUUCUCACCAAAAUCUCUAGAGAAGCCCUUGUGUUUUUCAACCCCACCAAAAUGCAAGGCUUAGAUUAGACACUCACUUUUGAAAUCAGUUUGAAGCACAUACUUUUAAGGCUAACUUUCUAGCUCACAGAUAAAAGUCCCCCACCACCCCCACCGACCCAAUCUUGUUGUCAGUGGAGUAGUAUUUUCUGAGGGUGCAGGGGACACUGAGGUUAGCUUAUGUCGUCAGUGGAGUAGUAUUUUCUGAGGGUGCAGGAAAUCCCUGGUGCUGGAAUGGGGACACUGAGGUUAGCUUAUGUUAAGGUCCCAUGGUGGUUUCUGGGCAGAAGUUAACCUGUUUCACUCCCAUCCCAACUUAGACUAUAUUAACACUCAAGCUUUGCCAUUGAGCACCCCUUUUCAGAGAAAAUGGCUCUUGUGGCUGAGCAAAUGAAUUUUGGUGGAAAAAAUAGCAUUUUAAUGUAGUUUUCUUAGCUGCCUCGAAAACUGAAAGGCAACAAUGACUUUCCCAUGAAUUGUUUUACAUAUUUCUUCCUGUGCUUAUAAAUAAAGAGACCCCAGGAAGCCCACAUUUCCUCAUGUGUGAAAGAAGGGAAUUAGACUCUGUGAACUCUAUACCUUUUAAGGAUCAGUAAUUCUGGUUUUUUUUUUUUUUAAGAAUCCAUUUAGAAAUACCUAGCAUAGAUGGACAUAGUGUAAUAUCCUUAAUAUCCUUAAGUGCCGUGUGUUAUAAUGAAAAGUAAACAGAUAAUUGAUUUAACUUUUAAAAUAUAUUCUAAUUAUGUAGGUAAUACAGAAUACAUUCUCCUAAUUAUAAAGAAAACAACCAAUACAGAAGGAAACUGCAGUCCACUCAGAGCCCCUCACCCCUAAUCCUAAUUCCUUCCUGCUCCUCCCAUAGACUGUUACUGGUUUGGGAUGCACACAUAAUAGAGAUCUUUGAAAAAUGCAUUUACAGACACAGGCUCUCAUAUAUGCCUCUAAAAUACAUAUAGUAUUGUUUUUAGCAUUUCUUUUUUAUGUAACUUGUUUCACAUCUUGGUUUUUCACUCAACAGCCUAUCUUAGGGAUCCAUGUUCAUUUGAAUUAACUUAGCCCUAAUUCCUUUAUGUGGGUUGUUGGAAGGUUUGCUCUGGUUGCCCAUCUGCCCUUCCUGGACUCCACUGGGAGCAUCUAAUAAGGCAUAGGGACUUCUCUGGCGGUCCAGUGGGUAAGACUUCACCUGCCAGUCGGGGUGAGGUCAGAUCCCUGCUCAGAGAGCUAAGCUUUCACAUGCCUCAUGGCCAAAAAAAUGUUUGCAUGAAAUGUUCCCUUGGUAUCUCUAAUUUUCUUGAAGAGAUCUCGAGUCUUUCCCAUUCUGUUCUUUUUCUCUAUUUCUUUGUAUUGAUUGCUGAAGAAGGCUUUCUUAUCUCUUCUUGCUAUUCUCUGGAACUCUGCAUUCAGAUGCUUAUAUCUUUCCUUUUCUCCUUUGCUUUUUGCCUCUCUUCUUUUCACAGCUAUUUGUAAGGCCUCCCCAGACAGCCAUUUUGCUUUUUUGCAUUUCUUUUCCAUGGGGAUGGUCCUGAUCCCUGUCUCCUGUACAAUGUCACGAACCUCAUUCCAUAGAUCUAGUCCCUUAAAUCUAUUUCUCACUUCCACUAUAUAAUCAUAAGGGAUUUGAUUUAGGUCAUACCUGAAUGAUCUAGUGGUUUUUCCUACUUUCUUCAAUUUAAAACUGAAUUUGGUAAUAAGGAGUUCAUGAUCUGAGCCACAGUCAGCUCCCGGUCUUGUUUUUGUUGACUGUAUAGAGCUUCUCCAUCUUUGGCUGCAAAGAAUAUAAUCAAUCUGAUUUUGGUGUUGACCAUCUGGUGAUGUCCAUGUGUAGAGUCUUCUCUUGUGUUGUUGGAACAGGGUGUUUGCUAUGACCAGUGCAUUUUCUUGACAAAACUCUAUUAGUCUUUGCCCUGCUUCAUUCCACAUUCCAAGGCCAAAUUUGCCUGUUACUCCAGGUGUUUCUUGACUUCCUACUUUUGCAUUCCAGUCCCCUAUAAUGAAAAGGACAUCUUUUUUGGGUGUUAGUUCUAAAAGGUCUUGUAGGUCUUCAUAGAACCGUUCAACUUCAGCUUCUUCAGCGUUACUGGUUGAGGCAUAGACUUGGAUCACUGUGAUAUUGAAUGGUUUGCCUUGGAGACGAACAGAGAUCAUUCUGUCAUUUUUGAGAUUGCAUCCAAGUACUGCAUUUCGGACUCUUUUGUUGACCAUGAUGGCUACUCCAUUUCUUCUGAGGGAUUCCUGCCCACAGUAGUAGAUAUAAUGGUCAUCUGAGUUAAAUUCACCCAUUCCAGUCCAUUUUAGUUCGCUGAUUCCUAGAAUGUCGACAUUCACCCUUGCCAUCUCUUGUUUGACCACUUCCAACUUGCCUUGAUUCAUGGACCUGACAUUCCAGGUUCCUAUGCAAUAUUGCUCUUUACAGCAUCAGACCUUGCUUCUAUCACCAGUCACAUCCACAACUGGGUAUUGUUUUUGCUUUGGCUCCAUCCCUUCAUUCUUUCUGGAGUUAUUUCUCCACUGAUCUCCAGUAGCAUAUUGGGCACCUACUGACCUGGGGAGUUCCUCUUUCAGUAUCCUAUCAUAUUGCCUUUUCAUACUGCUCAUAGGGUUCUCAAGGCAAGAAUACUGAAGUGGUUUGCCAUUCCCUUCUCCAGUGGACCACAUUCUGUCAGACCUCCCCAC
rnacentral:lncRNA from 1 species